UACGGAGGGGGCUAGCGUUGUUCGGAUUUACUGGGCGUAAAGCGCGUGUAGGCGGAUCGUUAAGUCGGGGGUGAAAGCCCAGAGCUCAACUCUGGAAUUGCCUUCGAUACUGGCGGUCUGGAGCAGAGAAGCGGCGAGUGGAAUUCCGAGUGUAGAGGUGAAAUUCGUAGAUAGUCGGAGGAACACCAGUGGCGAAGGCGGCUCGCUGGUCUCUUGCUGACGCUGAGACGCGAAAGCGUGGGGAGCAAACAGG
rnacentral:rRNA from 1 species